UUUUUUUUUUAACUUAGAGAAGCCCUUUCAGUAUUUCUUUUAUAAUGGGUUUAGUAUUGUUGUACUCUUAGGUUUUGUUUGUUGGAGAAAUUCUUUAUUUCCCCUUCUAUUUUAAAUAAUAUUCUUGCUGGAUAGAGUAUUCUAGGUUGCAGAUUCUUUCCUUUCAGCACUUUAAAUAUAUCUUGCCUCUCCCUUCUGGCCUGUAGUAUUUCUGUAGAGAAAUCAGCUGAUAGCCUUAUUGGGGUUCCCUUAUAAUUAAUGUUUUGCUUUUCUCUUGCUGCCUUUAGGAUCCUCUCUUUAUCUUUAACUUUUGCCAUUUUUAUUAUAAUAUGUCUUGGUAUGGGCCUGUGUGGGUUCAACUUGUUUGAGGCCCUCUGUGCUUCCUAUAUCUUGAUGUCAGUAUUCUUUAGAUUCGGAAAGUUUUCAGCCGUAAUUUCUUCAAAUAUAUUUUCAAUCCCCUUUUCUUCUUUUCCUCCUGGAAGUCCUAUUAUGUGUAGAUUGGCCUGCUUUAUAUUAUCCCAUAGGUUGCUUAUAUUGCUUUCAUGGUUUUUUAUUUGGUUUUCUGUCUGCUAUCCUGAUUGGGUGAUUUCCAUUAUUUUAUCUUCCACAUUACUAAUUCGUUCCUCUGCAUUACUCAUUCUGCUCAUCAUUGCCUUUAGCUCAGUUUGCAUCUCUGCAAAUGAAUUUUCUAUUUAUAUUUUUUAGUUCCUUUCUAAAGGAAUCUGCAUUACUGUUCAUAUCCUCUCUUAAUUCCUUCAGUGUUUUCACUAUCUCCCUUUUGAACUCAAUGUCCAUCAGACUGCAAGGUCUGUUUCAUUGUUGACUGCUUUAGGUGAAUUAUCCUGUUCCUUUAACUGGGAAUGGUUUCUGAGCUUCUUCAUCUUGCUUGUGUUUUCCUUUUUCUGUGAGUUUGGGGAAGCCAAAGUGUAGUCUUGUAAGGCUACUUCUAUGCAAGAAUACCCCUUUGUAUUUUUUGUGGGGGUUACUAUUUAUUUGGUGUGGGAGAUUUAAUAUUUGCUGUCUCAUUCUUCAGUGUAAGCAGGCUGUUAUUCCCAGGAUGCUCAGUGUGUUUUCAGGGAGAAGGAGGCAAUGGGUAGGGCCAGCAGUCAGUGCCUGGUUGUU
rnacentral:lncRNA from 1 species